rnacentral:tRNA from 1 species
GCGGGGGUGUCAGAGUGGUCAAAUGAGCAAGGUUGAGGGCCUUGUGGCUUAGUGCCUGCGCAGGUUCGAAUCCUGUCCUCCGCA